UACGGGGGGGGCAAGCGUUGUUCGGAAUUACUGGGCGUAAAGGGCGCGUAGGCGGCCUUCUAAGUCGGACGUGAAAUCCCUCGGCUUAACCGAGGAACUGCGUCCGAUACUGAAAGGCUUGAAUCCGGGAGAGGGAUGUGGAAUUCCAGGUGUAGCGGUGAAAUGCGUAGAUAUUGGGAGGAACACCAGUGGCGAAGGGCGGCUACCUGGACCGGUUCUGACGCUGAGGCGCGAAAGCGUGGGUAGCAAACAGG
rnacentral:rRNA from 1 species